UACGUAGGGGGCUAGCGUUGUCCGGAUUUAUUGGGCGUAAAGAGCGUGUAGGCGGCCAGGUAGGUCUGCUGUGAAAACUCGAGGCUCAACCUCGAGACGUCGGCGGAAACCAUCUGGCUAGAGUCCGGAAGAGGAGAGUGGAAUUCCUGGUGUAGCGGUGAAAUGCGCAGAUAUCAGGAAGAACACCCGUGGCGAAGGCGGGCUACUGGGCCGAUACUGACGCUGAGGCGCGAAAGCCAGGGGAGCAAACGGG
rnacentral:rRNA from 1 species